rnacentral:rRNA from 1 species
CCUACGGGUGGCAGCAGUGAGGAAUAUUGGUCAUUGGGCGCGAGCCUGAACCAGCCAAGUCGCGUGAGGGAAGACGGUCCUAUGGAUUGUAAACCUCUUUUGCCGGGGAGCAAAUGACGCUACGCGUGGAGUUCCGAGAGUAUCCGUAGAAAAAGCAUCGGCAAACUCUGCGCCAGCAGCCGCGGUAAUACGGAGGAUGUGGGCGUUAUCCGGAUUUAUUGGGUUAAAAGGGUGCGGAGGCGGAAGAAAAAGCCGGCGGGAAAAUUGAGAGGCGCAACCGCGUAGAGCCGUUGAAACUGGUUUUCUUGAGUGCUCGAGAAGUAUGCGGAAUGCGUGGUGUAGCGGUGAAAUGCAUAGAUAUCACGCAGAACUCCGGUUGCGAAGGCGGCAUGCCGGCGCUCAACUGACGCUGAUGCACGAAAGUGUGGGUAUCGAACAGGAUUAGAUACCCCUGUAGUC